CCUACGGGUGGCUGCAGUAGGGAAUUUUGCGCAAUGGUCGAAAGCCUGACGCAGCAAAACCGCGUGAAUGUUAAUCCCUUCGGGGUGUCAAGUUCUGUCAAUCGGGACGAAUUUUGACUGUACCUGUAUAGUCCUCACCGGCUAACUCCGUUCCAGCAGCCGCAGUAAUACGGGGGGUGCAGGCGUUGUCCGGAAUCAUUGGGCGUCACGCGUUCGUAGGCGGCAAGGUAAGUCUGAUGGUAAAGCCCGGGGCUCAACGCCGGUUCGGCAUUGGAUACUAUCUAGCUAGACUGUGGUAGAGGUAAAGGGAAUGCCGGGUGUAGCGGUGAAAUGCGUAGAUAUCAGGAGGAACAUCGGUGGCGAAAGCGCUUUACUGGACCAUGAUUGACGCUGAGGAACGAAAGCCAGGGGAGCAAAUGGGAUUAGAUACCCGUGUAGUC
rnacentral:rRNA from 1 species